AUUGAACGCUGGCGGCAGGCCUAACACAUGCAAGUCGAGCGGAUGAAGGGAGCUUGCUCCUGGAUUCAGCGGCGGACGGGUGAGUUAUGCCUAUGAAUCUGCCUGGUAGUGGGGGAUUACGUCCGCAAACGGGCGCUAAUACCGCAUACGUCCUGUGGGCGAACGUUGGGGUUCUUCGGACUUCUCGCUCUCAGAUGAGCCUAUGUCGGAUUAGCUAGUUGGUGGGGUAAAGGCCUACCAAGCCGACGAUCCGUAACUGGUCUGAGAGGAUGAUCAGUCACACUGGAACUGAGACACGGUCCAGACUACUACGGGAGGCAGCAGUGGGGAAUAUUGGACAAUGGGCGAAAGCAUGAUCAAGACAUGCCGCGUGUGUGAAGAAGGUAUUCGGAUUGUAAAGCACUUUAAGUUGGGAGGAAGGGCAGUAAGUUAAUACCUUGCUGUUUUGACGUUACCAACAGAAUAAGCACCGGCUAACUUCGUG
rnacentral:rRNA from 1 species